AGGUGGGAGGCUUUGAAGCGUGGACGCCAGUUCGCGUGGAGCCAUCCUUGAAAUACCACCCUGGCAUGCUUGAGGUUCUAACUCUGGUCCGUGAUCCGGAUCGAGGACAGUGUAUGGUGGGCAGUUUGACUGGGGCGGUCUCCUCCUAAAGAGUAACGGAGGAGUACGAAGGUGCGCUCAGACCGGUCGGAAAUCGGUCGCAGAGUAUAAAGGCAAAAGCGCGCUUGACUGCGAGACAGACACGUCGAGCAGGUACGAAAGUAGGUCUUAGUGAUCCGGUGGUUCUGUAUGGAAGGGCCAUCGCUCAACGGAUAAAAGGUACUCCGGGGAUAACAGGCUGAUACCGCCCAAGAGUUCAUAUCGACGGCGGUGUUUGGCACCUCGAUGUCGGCUCAUCACAUCCUGGGGCUGAAGCCGGUCCCAAGGGUAUGGCUGUUCGCCAUUUAAAGUGGUACGCGAGCUGGGUUUAGAACGUCGUGAGACAGUUCGGUCCCUAUCUGCCGUGGACGUUUGAGAUUUGAGAGGGGCUGCUCCUAGUACGAGAGGACCGGAGUGGACGAACCUCUGGUGUUCCGGUUGUCACGCCAGUGGCAUUGCCGGGUAGCUAUGUUCGGAAAAGAUAACCGCUGAAAGCAUCUAAGCGGGAAACUUGCCUCAAGAUGAGAUCUCACUGGGAACUUGAUUCCCCUGAAGGGCCGUCGAAGACUACGACGUUGAUAGGCUGGGUGUGUAAGCGUUGUGAGGCGUUGAGCUAACCAGUACUAAUUGCCCGUGAGGCUUGACCAU
rnacentral:rRNA from 1 species